rnacentral:rRNA from 1 species
AACGCGAAGAACCUUACCUGGAUUUGACAUCCUCUGAAUAUUGUAGAGAUAUAAUAGGCCCGCAAGGGACAGAGAGACAGGUGCUGCAUGGCUGUCGUCAGCUCGUGUUGUGAAAUGUUGGGUUAAGUCCCGCAACGAGCGCAACCCCUGUCUUUGGUUGCCAUCAUUCAGUUGGGCACUCCAAAGAGACUGCCGUCGUUAAGACGGAGGAAGGUGGGGAUGACGUCAAGUCCUCAUGGCCUUUAUAUCCAGGGCGACACACGUGAUACAAUGGUAAGCACAAAGGGCAGCAAAGUAGCGAUACCAAGCAAAUCCCAAAAAGCUUAUCUCAGUUCGGAUUGGAGUCUGCAACUCGACUCCAUGAAGUUGGAAUCGCUAGUAAUCGCGGAUCAGAACGCCGCGGUGAAUACGUUCCCGGGCCUUGUACACACCGUGUCGA